rnacentral:rRNA from 2 species
CGGGCGUCUUAACAUGCAAGUCGAACGAUUAAAGCACCUUCGGGUGUGUAUAAAGUGGCGAACGGCUGAGUAACACGUGGGCAACCUGCCCCUUUCAUUGGGAUAGCCACGGGAAACCGUGGAUAAUACCGAAUACUUCGAGACUUCCGCAGGGAAGACUCGAGAAAGCUCCGGCGGAGAGGGAUGGGCCCGCGGCCUGUUAGCUUGUUGGUGGGGUAACGGCCUACCAAGGCAAUGAUGGGUAGCUGGGUUGAGAGACCGACCAGCCAGAUUGGGACUGAGACACGGCCCAGACUCCUACGGGAGGCAGCAGUGGGGAAUCUUGCACAAUGGGCGAAAGCCUGAUGCAGCGACGCCGCGUGCGGGAUGAAGGCCUUCGGGUUGUAAACCGCUUUCAGCAGGGACGAGGCGAAAGUGACGGUACCUGCAGAAGAAGCCCCGGCUAAUAC